UACGGGGGGAGCAAGCGUUGUUCGGAUUUACUGGGCGUAAAGAGCGCGCAGGCGGUCGUUCAAGUCGCGUGUGAAAGCCCCCGGCUCAACUGGGGAGGGUCACGCGAUACUGAUCGACUCGAAGGCAGGAGAGGGUAGUGGAAUUCCCGGUGUAGUGGUGAAAUGCGUAGAUAUCGGGAGGAACACCAGUGGCGAAGGCGACUACCUGGCCUGUUCUUGACGCUGAGGCGCGAAAGCCAGGGGAGCAAACGGG
rnacentral:rRNA from 1 species